ACCAAGACAGCAUUCUUCCACAAUCAAAAACAAAAAGCAUCUGGGUCUCCAAGCUUCCGGGGCAACUGCAGCAAACACAGAUGCCUUCCCUGAGCGGUUUUGCGCAAACCAGAGGCGCUGGCUUCCACGUCUGGGUUGAUGCAGGACAGGGGAGAGGACAGCGGGUGAGGGGAGAGUGUGUGGAGAGUUCAGGAGCAAUCAGAAGACACGUGGAGGUGUGGGGGGUGUGGAGAGUUCAGGAGGAGUCAGAAGACACGUGCGGAGCACAUGUCCAGACGUCUCUCCUGUUCUGGCAAGACCACUCGACUUCCAACAGCAUUCGAUACAGAGGGUUCACGGGUCACAUCACUGCGGUCACGUUCUUGGGGACAGGGUUUGGACACAUGGCUUUGGACAACUUACUUUCUACAGGAAACUGUCAGAAAUCUGUUCAGUAAAACCUGACAGGCCAUUCAGGGCAGCUGUAAAACUCCGGAGGAGAGACAGCGUUCCUCCUUGGAAGUCAGCUGAUGGGGGCCGGAGUGCUGGAGACUACAUGUUUCUUUCUUUCUGUGGGGGAGACCCUUGCCUCCUUCUACAGCAGAGAUCAAGGGAAAAGUGAAUCAACAACAGGGAUCACUGUUUAUUUCUUGCUCUGGCCAGAAGGAGGUACUUGAUUGAAGCAUAUUUUGGGGAAAAAAGGUUAAACUGAUGUCCGUGUAAAAAGAUGAGAAAUCAAUGCCUAGAAGUGUGCUGUUGAUUUUAAAGGAUGGAAGGGGGGGGAUGUUCUUAGGUGUGCCUCUUCACGUCCACUUCCCUGCCAUGUCUUCCCCUCCUUCUUACAAAUAUUUACUGAAUGCCCGCUAUGUGCAUGGCUCUGGGCUUAGUUUGACAGAAUACACCAAGACAGCAAUUACUUUCUCUUUUCCCCAUUGGUUCCUGCAACAUUUGUGCCCCUGCCCCACACUCACAUAGUGAAAUCUAACACCCAGCGUGAAGGCACUGGGAAGUGAGAACUUUGGGAGCUGACUGGGCCUUGAGGGCUGAGCCCCCAUGAAAGGGAUUAGUGCCCUUAGAAAAGAGACUGCAGAGAGCUCCCUGGCCCCUGCAACCACAUGAGGACACAGCAAAACAAUGGCAGUCUAUGAAGCAGGAUCUCACCAGACACCAAACAAACCUGCUGGAACCUUGAUCUUGAACUCCCUAAACUCCAGAACUGUAAGAAAUACAUUUUGUUGUUCCUAAGCCACUGCGGCCGUGGUAUUCUGUUACAACAGCUCAGAUGGACUGAGAUGGAUUAGUAUGAACUUUAGACACUCUUUAUGGUCUCUUAUAGUUUUAAAGUCAAUUCAGAUAAAUCUGAAUAUUUCAGAAGC